UACGGGGGGGGCAAGCGUUGUUCGGAAUUACUGGGCGUAAAGGGCUCGUAGGCGGCCAACUAAGUCAAACGUGAAAUCCCUCGGCUUAACCGGGGAACUGCGCUUGAUACUGGAUGGCUUGAGAUUGGGAGAGGGAUGCGGAAUUCCAGGUGUAGCGGUGAAAUGCGUAGAUAUCUGGAGGAACACCGGUGGCGAAGGCGGCAUCCUGGACCGGCAUUGACGCUGAGGCGCGAAAGCCAGGGGAGCAAACGGG
rnacentral:rRNA from 1 species